GAUGAACGCUAGCGGCAGGCCUAACACAUGCAAGUCGAGGGAUAAGCCCUUCGGGGUGGAAACCGGCGCACGGGUGCGUAACGCGUAUGCAACCUACCUUUCACAGGGGGAUAGCCCGAAGAAAUUUGGAUUAAUACCCCAUAAUAUUGUUGGAUGGCAUCAUUGAUAAUUAAAGUUACGAUGGUGAAAGAUGGGCAUGCGUCCUAUUAGCUAGUUGGAGUGGUAACGGCACCCCAAGGCUACGAUAGGUAGGGGUCCUGAGAGGGAGAUCCCCCACACUGGUACUGAGACAGGGACCAGACUCCUACGGGAGGCAGCAGUGAGGAAUAUUGGUCAAUGGUCGAAAGACUGAACCAGCCAUGCCGCGUGCAGGACAGACGGCCCUAGAGGUUGUAAACUGCUUUUAUAUGGGAAGAAUAAGGAGUACGAGUACUUUGAUGACGGUACCGUAUGAUAAAGCUCGG
rnacentral:rRNA from 1 species